rnacentral:misc_RNA from 1 species
GAUGAAGAACGUAGCGAAAUGCGAUAAGUAAUGUGAAUUGCAGAUUUCAGUGAAUCAUCGAAUCUUUGAACGCACAUUGCGCCCGCCAGUAUUCUGGCGGGCAUGCCUGUCUGAGCGUCAUUUCAACCCUCAUGCCCCUAGGGCGUGGUGUUGGGGAUCGGCCAAAGCCCGCGAGGGACGGCCGGCCCCUAAAUCUAGUGGCGGACCCGUCGUGGCCUCCUCUGCGAAGUAGUGAUAUUCCGCAUCGGAGAGCGAUGAGCCCCUGCCGUUAAACCCCCAACUUUCCAAGGUUGACCUCAGAUCAGGUAGGAAUACCCGCUGAACUUAAGCAUAUCAAUAAGCGGAGGA